GAUCAUGGCUCAGGACGAACGCUGGCGGCGUGCUUAACACAUGCAAGUCGAACGAGAAUCUACUGAAAGAGUUUUCGGACAAUGGAAGUAGAGGAAAGUGGCGGACGGGUGAGUAACGCGUGAGGAACCUGCCUUGAAGAGGGGGACAACAGUUGGAAACGACUGCUAAUACCGCAUAACGCAUAGAGGUCGCAUGAUCUUUAUGCCAAAGAUUUAUCGCUUCAAGAUGGCCUCGCGU
rnacentral:rRNA from 1 species